GAAACUUGAUAAUUGUUAUUUUGCACAUUUUGCCAAAAAAUAAAUACUUUAAUGGUGACCGUCUCACAUGUAUGCCUUAAAUACAAAACUGAUCAAACUGAUCAUGACAUGCCAUGGGGUCAUUAACUGAUGUAUGGUUGAAGCAUUCCAUUGUUUUUGUUAUUACUGUAGGAAAAAUAUGAGUUGUUAUUACAAUCAUGUUCCAGUAAGUGUAAUGCAGUAGCCCAUUGCUUGUGUUUGUAUAGUGUGUAAUAGGUAUAACUGUGCUAAAAAGCUGUUAUCUAUGUUUUUGACCUCCCAAAAACCCAUUUUUUUUUCGAUUGCGGGGAAGUGUCCCUUAUUUGAAUCUCUGGAAGUUGGCAACUCUAGUGAAACACUGCUAAAGUCCUGCUAUAGUCUAGCCAUAGAUACUGUUGGUCUUGCAUAUUUGCAAAAAAUAAAAUGUGUAUAUGUAAUUGUAUAUGCAAACACAUGUGCAUGGAGCACAGUGUUUCACAUGUGGCAUGCAUGAAGCAAUCAUGUCUGCUUUUCGUGAUGAUUCAUUAGUGUAUGAACACUGCUCCUGGUAACAUAAGGCUUUUUUAAUUAAAUUAAAUGUACCAAAUUCCUGAGAUUUAUAAUAUGUAUUAUCUGGAAAGAUAUCUUUGCAUAAGAAUCAAAGUCUGCUAAACAUUCACACUUGCUAAAUGUGUAUCAAGUUACAGCCACACAAUUAUUGUCAUACAGAUCAAGGAAGAGUUCCGAAGGUGCACUGCCAUUGUACCAGAACUGAUGUCUAUUGCCCAGCCGGACAGAAUGACCACAAAAAUCCGGGAGCUGUUUAGCGCCAAGUGAGAAGCAGUAGAGGAGCCCAUAAAGAGCUUGUCGAUGGACCUGAUACAGGUGUGGAAAUGUGGUUUUUAAAUGUACAAGAACAGAUAAACAUAUUAAUAUGCUAUACUGUAAGUAGGCUGUAUUACAUUGCCUGAGUCAGCAGUAAGGAAUAAGUAACAGUUAGUUUUAGACUUUUUAAGUGCUCUUUAGAUGCAUCACAUUGUAAGAUUGAUUUAAAAAAAAAAGUUGUGGUCCCCACCAAAUGUAUUUUUUAUUUGAGAUAAAGCCUGUUGUAUUUCAUCAGGAAGCUUGCAAUUUGCCUUUAAAAGUACAGUCAGGUCAAGUUCAUAUGUACUUGACUCUUCCUCAGAAAAAGUUUAUAGAAAAUCCACAAUCCGCAUCGGUGACGUAUGCUGAUACGCCGCCGGUCUGCCAAAAUACCUCUAGACCAGCUGCGCUCCGCCUGCACUAAAAGCUGACCAGGUUUGAAUCAGCGAGCUUUCAGCACAUUUUAUACACCACCGGCAACACGAAAAUGUUACUGUGGUAGUUGAUUCCGUCGACAACUCCCUCUGCCAUGCCACCACGCCAAGCUUGGUGGACCUCGGUGCACCUCAGUCCACGAAAAAACCCAACCGGCUGUACACUGGGCUCCGCCAGAUGAAAAUACCACUGCACAGGGUUCGCCACCCUCCGCCGCGUCACUGGCGGACACGAAAAUAGAAGCCCUAAAAGUUUUUUUUUUUUUUUGAAACUUUUUAUUUAUUUGCUUUUUUCUUUUACAUAAACGGCAAAGGUAAAUAGAAAUAAAUAAAUAAAAAAAACUAGAAAAUAAAAUAAAAAGUGGAAGUGGGGCACACCGCUCUUGAUGCAGCCUUAUUCACGGUCUAUUAGGUCUGUAGAACAUUAGACCCUUCUUUUUUCAUAUAUACAGUCCAUUUGUGCCACUGUCAAUCCAAGAGCUCUGCUUUCAUUCUGAGGUAGUAAGUCAGUCGUUCCAUCGAGUAAAUCUCCUCAACAAUGCCCAACCACUGUCCUAGGCUUGGAGAGUCAUUUUUCAGCCAGUUUCUUGUUAUGGCCUUUCUACAUGCCAAGAUCAGUAUUUUGAAAAGAUACAUGUCCUUCUUUUGGAUGGUUCCUUGUGGGGCCAGACCCAGGUACAGUAUCCAGGGGUCCCUGGGUAUCUUAUAGGAAAAGACUUCUUCCAGAAUCUGAGUCACUCUUUCCCAGAACCCCAUGCAAUUUUACACACAACCAGAAAAUAUGAGUGUGAUUAGCAUCCAUCUGCCCGCAGCCCCUCCAGCAUUGUUGUUGUUCACCUAAUUGUUUAUGUUUUAUGUGUGGUGUGAUAAAAAAGCGGAUUAAGUUCUUCCAGCCAAACUCUCUCCAUCUUUUGGAGCUCGUAGAAGUCUGCUGGGUUCUACAGAUAGAAUGCCAAUCAACCUCGGACAGUUCAGUGUUCAAUUCCAGCUCCAAUUUUGAUUUCACAUACAAUGUGUUUUUACCAUUUUGUUUUUGUAGGCCUCUAUACAGCUUAGAGACAAUCUUUACAGGUGUACAUUUAUAUGCUUUAGUGAAUAUUUCAAUCACUGCGUUUCCUUCUUCAGAGAUUCCUUUUUUAAUUUCUGUCUCGUUAAAAUGUCUUAGCUAUAAGUAUCUGAACAGGUCACCGUUGUCCAAAUCAAAUUCACCUUUGAGUUUUUCAAAAGAUUUGAAAGUUUUUCCCUCUAGGAGUGUACACAGCUGUACACUCGCUGUAAUCCCCUUAUCACUCCACCUUGCGAAUGUGCUGUCAGUCUCUCCGGGGCUAAACUGGGAUGUUCGAGAAGGCCAAAUUAAAAGUUUACUGUCCCCUUCUAAUUUAUAUUUUUUAACUACCUCAAACCAAUUGUUUAAUGCAUUUUCCAGGAUUAAGCUUUCUUCCCUAUGGUCUGUGUGUUCUUUCACACCUAACCUGGUUUGUGGUUGAGGAUCAUCCAUGUUCAAUUCAAUGUGUUUCCACUUAGCCUGGUACUCCGGAGAGCACCAGUAAACAAGAUAUCUCAUCUGGGCGGCAUAAUAGUAUUCCUUUAGAUUUGGUACUGCAAGACCUCCAUGUUCUCUGUCAAUCUGAAGUGUUCUGAAUCUUACCCUUGGUCUCGCUCCAGCCCAUAUAAACCUUGAUAACUGUUUGUCCCACAUUGAAAACUGUGAAUCUGGGAUUCUCACAGGUAGAGACAAAAAAAGGUACAGCAACCUUGUCAGCACGUUCAUUUUCACUGCCUCAAUCCUUGAAGUAAAAUCUAACCCCAGUGUGGACCAUUUCUUAAUAUCCUCCUGUAUCUUGUCAUUUAUGAUUUUGUGGUUUAUUUCAUGUAGUUUACCAAGAUUUUGACUAAUAAACACUCCCAAGUAUUUUAUGGAUUUUGCUUACCACUUAACUUUAUACUUCAGCCUAAUAUCCUUACUCGGAGUGUAAUUAAAAGAGAGAAUUUGUGUCUUGGCUAUAUUCAGUUUAUAACCUGACAUUUCACCAUACUCAUCUAAAGACUCCAUGAGUUUAGGCAGCGUUAAGUUAGGGUUCUGCAGGUAGAUAAUAAUGUCAUCCGCAAAGAGUCCUAUUACAUGGUCCUCGUUUGCUAUGUUGAUUCCUCUCAACUCUUUAUUUUGUCUGAUACUCUGUGCUAGGGGCUCGAUGAAGAUCGCGAAGAGUGUGGGGCUAAGACAGCAACCCUGGCGAGUGCCUCUGUAUAGCUUAAAGCUGCCUGACAGAUGGCCGUUGAUUUUUAUUCUAGCCGUAGGAUUUCUGUAAAGAGCCUGUAUGCAUCUGACAAAUUGACAACUAAAGCCCAGCCUCUCUAGCACCCGAUACAAAAAGGGCCAACAGACCCUAUCAAAGGCCUUUUCUGCAUCUAAACUGGCCAGAACUGCAUUUAGAUGUUUUUUUAUUAAUCUGUUCUAUGAUAUGUAAAGUUCGUCUGGUGUUGUUUUGAGUUUGACGGCCUCUUAUAAACCCUGUCUGAUCCUCGUUGAUAAAGUCAGGCAAGAGAUGUUCAAUUCUUUUCGAGAUAAUAGAUGUAAACAACUUGUAAUCUACAUUUAGUAUAGAGAUUGGACGGUAUGAACCGCAAUUUUCUUUAUUUUUCCCAUCUUUUGGAAUGACUGAUAUAACAGCCUCUUUCCAUAAUGGUGGUGCAACCGCUUUUGUAAGAGUCCAGUUAAAUGAUUGUAACAUAAUAGGAGCGAGGUCUUCCUUAAAAAUCUUAUACCAUUCGUUUGGAAAGCCAUCACUUCCAGGGCAUUUGUUUGCUUUCAGUUUAUUGAUAGCCCUGUCCAGUUCUGGCUUUGCAAUGGGAGCAAUUAAACUAUAAUAUUGAGAUUUCCCUAUGGAGGGAAGAUCUACUGAUGACAAAUACUGUAUAAUAUUUUCGUCGUCUACAGUCUUGGGCUGCGAGUAUAGAACUUCAUAAUAAUUUUGGAAUAUUUUGUGGAUAACAUCCGGCUCAUAGGUUAUUUUAUUAGUUGUAGGGUCUCUAAUUUUCUGUAAUGUAUUUUUAAUUUGUUGAGCCCUAAGACGUUUGGCUAGAAUUUUUGUCGCUUUGGAGCCUGAUUCGUAGAAGCUUUGUUUAAUAAAUCUCAGUUUCUUUUCCAAUUCUUCGUUCAGAAUGUUAUUUACUUGAUCUUUUAUUUUUCUUAAUUUGGUUUUUCAGCUCUUGGUCCCAUUCUUUUGAUUGUUGCUUCUCUAAUUCUCUCAGUGUUUUCUCUAGUUCAUCAUAAUUUGACCUCUUCACCUUUUUUUGAAAAGCUGUUCUUGAAAUGAGUUUCCCCCUCAUUACUGCUUUAACUGUGUCCCAUACAAUGGUUGGGUCCACUUCACCAGUCAUAUUAUCUUUUAUGCAUUCCAUAAUUUCUCCUUUAAUCUCCUUAACAAUGGCUUCCUUGUUUAGGACACUGAUAUUUAAUCUCCACAAUGUACACUUCUGUCUGUCAUUUAGAUGUAUAGUCAAAUAGAUUGCAUUAUGGUCCGAUAGAUCCGCUGUUCCUAUGGAACAUUCCUUCACCCUGUGCCUAUCAGUAACAUUCAUCAAAAAGAAGUCUAUUCUGGAAUGAACAUGAUGAGUACCUGAGUAAUGAGUAUAAUCUUUUUCAGAUGAAUGAAGGUUCCUCCAGACAUCAAACAUACCUGUUUCUCGAAUUAGCAAGUUAAGAUCCCUUGACUUAAGACAUUUAGAUCUCUUUAUACUUGUUGUGUCUAUGGAGUGGUUCAAGACUGUGUUCCAGUCCCCUGCACAGACUAGUAUCCCCUCACUUUCAGAGGAUAAUAUGUGAAAUAGAGACUUAAAGAAUUUUCUAUUGCUCUCUGGGGGGGCAUAUAUAUUAGCAAAUGUGACAGUAGUGUAAUCAAUCCUUCCUUUAACAAUUAUAUAUCUACCCUUCCCAUCACUCUUUUCCUUAAUUAGUUCAAAAUUAAGAUUGUUGGAUAUCAGAGUAGCAACACCUCUUUUACGGCUGUACUCGCAUGAACUAAAAAAUUAGUUUAAAUAUCCAAACUUUUUCAACUUCUCAUGUUUCAAAUAUAAUUUGAACCUUAUCCUUUUUCAUUUAUCCACAUUUCAGACUGUGUGACCCAAUCAUAUAUUUUCUUUAAAGCAAGCAAGCAAGUGCCACCACAAAAGAAACUCUUGAGAAUGAACUGCAUGAUGAGGGGGUGUCUCCCUCCCCCUCAUUUGCGACCCUGUUGGUGGGUCGAGGGAGCAACCUCUCACUCCGAGAGGGCCCAGUGUUCAGGGUGGCUAAUGAGUCCAAAACUGUCUCUACCAUCCUAUUAGUCCAACUUUUACAUUAUAGAAAACGAAGUCGCCUCUCCCAGGCGCGGAUGCUCUGUGUAGAGCUUAGAAAAAAAGGGGAAAAGAACCACUCACGUGUCAGUCUCGAGUUUAAAGUUUUCAUACGGGUAAUGCAGGUUAAUUCCGUGAUUAUGAAUCCUCUGUGUGUCCUCUCUGAAACUCGCAGAGUUUUUCCCUCGCCCUCCGGGCCGCGGCAGACCCCUUCUCCCGACGCCCGGCUGCCUGCUGCCAUCCCAUUAGCUCCAGAAGCCAUGUCUCCGCGGGGCUCUCUCCCUCAGUUGGCUCCAGUUCUUCCACGGGGAAGCCGCACUUCCUCAGCUCUCUCUGUGCCUCCUGCACGGUGUUGUACGUGCGGACUCCCGUGGCCCAGUGGAUCUGCAUGCUUGUGUGUGGUGUCUGGAAGCGAAUACCCUUUUCCUUUAGGGCUUUUUUAAUCGCGUUAUAUUCCUUGCGCUUUUUAACUAUCUCCGGUGCGUAAUCAUGAUCGAAGUAGACAAAUCUUUCACCCACUUGUAUUUUCUUCUUUUUCCAGGCUUCUCUCAAUAUCAGCUCCUUUGUGGUAAACUCCAAGAAGUUAACAACGAUAGGUCUCGGGGGAGCAUCGGGUCGGGAUCUGGGCGCCAGAUCCAUGUUUUGAGAUGCUGGUAGCUCACUUCGGUCCAUCCUUCCACCUGCUCCACCCGGGACUCUGGCUCGUCAACGUGGUCAGACAGGCUCUGCACUGCCGUUGUCAGGCUGUCGAGUUUCCCGUUGAUUUCUUGCCUUAGUUGAGUGAGUUCCUGUUUCACACAACUGAUGUGCCCCUGCAUAUCAGUUUUUAGCGCAUUAAUCGCUCUGAUAACUUCUCCGGAGUCAGUGUCUGUUGAGGGAUUUUUCUGGCUUGCCGCUGCUGCACUACGGGUUAGAGGAGAAGUUAGCCCAGUGUUGUUAGCAUUUGGCGACGAGUUGUUUUUUUCUUGCGCUUCUGGCAUUUUUCUUUUUUCCUCAGUCUUUUGUGGUUCUUCUCCCAUUUAUCGUGUCUGUACUCAAAUAAUUAUGAGUUUUUCGAGUUGCUAGGCGAGUAAUUUUUACUAGGCCUGGGAGGGUGACUCCGCCGUGCGUCUUACUCCGCCAUCAGCAAACCGGAAGUCCAGCAAGCCCUAAAAGUUUUAAGAGUUUGUGCUCUACCCUACUGCUUAUUUAAAGUGUCUUGCACAGUAUACAGUUAAUAAGGAAACCAGAUAUAGUAACUUCGCAUAUUUGCUGAAAAAAAACAAGAAUAUAGAAACCUUCUACUUCAUAGGCACAUUAUUAAUAUUUAUUAAGUAAUUUUUAUGUAAGCAGAACUGGAAAACUGGAAAAAAAAAAAAAGAAUUAAAAAAAAUUAAAAAAGGAAUGAAUUGGCUAAUACUAUUAAAAAUUGAGUAAAUCCAGUCACUUUUUUUUUGUUUUCAUUUGAAAUAUUUAUUUAAUUAGGUCUGUAGUAACUUCUUUGCUGUCUUCUUUUAUAUUUGUCAAACUUAAUUUCUAAACCAUUUUUUUGUAAGUUCUACUUUAUUUUGUUAGGUAGAAUUAGAGUAGCAUCAAGUUGAGUCAACUUAAUCAUAUUGGGCUCUAUUUUCGUGCCUCCCUGGCAACGCAUCGCAUCAGCAGCGUAAGUCAGGUCUGCCGCACCGACAAGGCGUUCCCAAGCACAAUUUUGUAUUUUGGUGAGUGGCGCAGCCCGGCGUAAGUAUCCCCCUCCCUAACUCAGCUCCUCCCAGCGGCGUAAGUCGUAGGGGGGGAGGAUAGAGGGCGUGGAGUGGGUUUAAAACAGCCGACACCUGUUUUCACCAAUCACAUAAGCUCCUCUCCUCACCUUUAAAUCCACCACCGGUGAGGCGUAUUCCAAUUUUCGUGAAGUAGUCAAAGAGAUCAAGAGAUGGCUGAAGACAGCAAUGCCACACAAUGGCUACAGAAGGCAGCCCCUAAACAAGUGUCCCUGUAAACGCACUCCACACUCUCUCAUACGAGCACAGAUGGAUUUGGUGUGUGUAAUGUUGGACCAACUAGUAAGACAAACAACCUUUCCACAAAUAAAGACACUCACAUAAAGUUGCACAUAUUCAAACCUCACAUGACAAAGGUAGGUUGUGCGCAGAGAUCACAUCAUAAAUUCCAAUAAUGGCAUUAAAAUUGGAACCAUCUGUGCGUAAAUGUGGCAUCGCGCUCCGUGGCCUGGCUCUUUCUUUCAUAGAUGUUGGCAUUAAAUUAAAUUGGGCUCACAAAACUGAAUAUUAUAAUAUUCGUAUGUAGGCUUAAAGUAAAUAACUCAUCUGAUCACUGAAACAAAUCAUCUGUUCAGCUGCCGCAGCUGCAGCAGGACAGGGAGAGGACAUGGAGACAUGUCCAGGUUGAGCUGUGCGAGAAAUAAGAGGAAGAGGAAGAAAGAAAAGGAGGGAGACGAAUUACAUAUCUCGUUAACUUCAUCAUGUGUGUCUAUUUACUAGAUAUUUAAUUUAAUUCAAUGCAGUUUCAGCUGUGUUGAUUCAGUCAGGUUGUGUGUCCAAACCCGUGCCAAAUGUGCUCAUCAGAUCAGAUACAGAUCAGAAUAUAUCUAUAUAGAUCUAAAUGUAUGUGCUGACCCAGAUUAUUAGUUGUUGUUGAUUAUAUAUUGCACUGAAAUGUGCCUGACACCGUGGAAACCUGCUGGUAAGGCAUCUUAGAUGUAUGGCGAUACGCCGCCGGUCUACCAAAAUACCUCUAGACCAGGGGCCUCAUGUAUCAACACUUGCGUGGGACUCAUACCAGGGAGUGCACGCAAGGUCCGUCACGCUGAAAAAAAUUCGUAUGUAUCAAGGUGUUCGGGCGCGGAAAGCCACGUGUGUUUCCUUGAUAAAUCCCAAUCAGCUUGGAAUUGAGCGCAGAUGUCGGAGUGACCGGGCCCGCCCCCGUUACGCCCUCCUAUAAAUAUGCAGAUUUAUUUAAAUAGGGUAUUAUAGGGUAAGUGGCGUGUCACACAAAUGUCCACAUGCUUUGCCAUCCCACUGAGCAAAAGACGUAUAUUAGACAUCUAGUCUAAGUUUAUACUUCAUUUCAACGUCGGGAUUCAGUCUAUUUUUGGACGUGAUUUAUACUUCGCCCUUAACUUCAUUUUUCGAUAACUUUUUAUGCAAUAAACAACUCUGAUGUGCACAACUGACCUCUAAAUACUGGAUUACAUUACCUAUGAUACCGUGGAGAGAGAUGUAAACGCAACAGAUACACAGAAGCAGGAAUUGAAAUGAACCGAUAUUUUUAUUGUGUCACAGAAAUCAAUGUGUCGGCCGUGUCGCCGGCUUGCGGAACCCCGGCCCGCGGCAGCCCGUCCGCCGGCUCGUCGGAAUAAAUUAAUUUGUCUCAUUGAACUGUGUAUUCACUUCUUACCCAUUCACACUGUGGCAAGUUAGCAAGUUAAUGUAAUAAUAAAUGUAAAUCUAGAGAGCUGAACUGGCAGUGUGCUCUAUGCCUAGAUGGUUAUGCUGCCUGUGCUGACUAACAAGCCUACACCUUCCUCUGCAUUUGCUAUGUGGUUCACAGUGGAUAACGGGAUCUUUGCCCUGCUCUGCUACCUAAUUAUUUGUGGCCCCAGUUACAAGUUCAGGAAAAUAAACAACAGGCCUAUCCUUACCUCCAGAGUAAAAUUGUAAAUUGAUUUACUCAUUGCAUUAGUCUUACAUACAUAGUUGGAUUUCAGAUUGGAACGCAAAUAUGUUUACAGUUAUAAUAUGGUAGGUUAUUUAGUAACAUAAAGAAAAGGACCAUAAUAGUAUGAAUGACCAGGGGCCUAAUGUAUCAACACUUGCGUGGGACUCAUACCGGAAACGAGCGCACACAAGGUCCGUCACGCUGAAAAAAAUUCGUAUGUAUCAAGGUGUGCGGGCGCUGAAGGCCACUUGUGUUUCCUUGAUAAAUCCCAAUCAGCUUGGAAUUGAGCGCAGAUGUCGGAGGGACCGGGCCCGCCCCCGUUACGCCCACCUAUAAAUAUGCAGAUUUUUUUAAAGAGGGUCUCCCUGUCCUCGCACGCAGAAAAAAUGACAAGAAAAACUAAAUUUACGGCGUGCGAGGUGGAGGUGCUGGUGGCGGAGGUGGAGGAGCGACAGCAUGUUUUGUUUGGCAGCCUGUCCAGUGGCGUCAGUGCAAAACGAAAACGCUUGGAGUGGGAGAAAGUUUGCAAGAGGGUGAACGCGGUGGGUUUCCGAGACACGCCCCCCCGCGGAGAUUUUAAAAAAAGUGGUCGGACCUCAAGGUGGAGGUCAAGCGGCGUACAGCUGCCCUCUGGAGGAGUACCGGCCAGACAGGUGGGGUCCGGGGGAGGAGACCCUCACGCCGUUUGAGCAGCGGGUGGUGGCGAUUAUGGGGGGCGCCUCUGUGGGGGGGAUUGUCGCCGCUACCCUCGGCGACUCAGACAGCCUGCCGGAGGGUAAGUGGCGUGUCACACAAAUGUCCACAUGAUUUGCCAUAGAUGUAAAUGCAACAGAUACACAGAAGCAGGAAUUGAAAUAAACCAAUAUUUUUAUUGCGUUAUAGAUAUCAAUGUGUCGGCCGUGUCGCCGGCUUGCGGAACCCCGGCCCACGGUAGCCUGUCCGCUGGCUCGUCGGCCAGGACCAGCGGCAUUCGGGCCAACCCGGCCCCCGGCCCCAGCACCAGCACCAGCGCGCCGACAAGUGGUGGAGCGUCCACCAGCCGCGGCGCUUCCGUUGGACGACCCGGACGCAGUGGAAGGGUCCUCACGGAGGCGGUCCUGCAAUCGCAGGAAGAAAUCAUCAGGGGGAUCGCGGGAAUCAACGAGCGGCUGGACCAGCUCGUAAAUGUUCUCGAGCAUCUGGUGGAGAAAAUAAAUUAAUUUGGCUCAUUGAACUGUGUAUUCACUUCUUACCCAUUCACAUUGUGGUGAUGAGAUUCUCCCACACGAGGACGGCGGCCCGGCAGGGAUCAGCUCGCAUCCCUCCGUCUGCUGCUGGUUCGUCAUGUGGGGCGACGUGCUGCUCGGCCACGGGGAUGUGGUGCACACUUGUCACAUAGUGAGUCACCAAACACCGCCACACAGCGUCGCCAAAGUGCCGUCAACGCAAGUAUCGGCUCAACACCAACUUCUACACCACCUCCUCACUUUGCGUGGAUUUGUGCUGGAACCGACGCUCGUGUCGCGAUGAUAAAUCUGGAUGUGUGCGCCGAUCUUGGCGAACGCAAGGUUUUCUGGCGCCGCCAGCGUUGAUACAUGAGGCCCCGGGUUUCACACCAAUUUCGUACCUUCCACUGACUAAUAUUACUUGCUUGAUUCAAAUAACAUGUCCUUUGACACAUGACAGGGAAGUUACAAAAAAAUUGCUAACUCAAUGUAAUGUUAUUUUGUUUACCUAGAUUCUGUAAUGUAGCUAGCUAGUAUAGUCAUGGAAAGCUCACAUCAGCUUGCAUCAGUCGAUGUUAUCUUUAGCCUCUCAAGUCCAAACGUCCAAAUUGUCCAAUUAGAUGCAACUGUCAUAUGCCCUUAGGCCAGCUCAAAGCACUCUGGCCAGCACAAACCCAUUAGGAAGAAUUACUCUCCUCUGCAUUUGUGCAAAUAUUUCAAUGCUGUAACACUAAUAGGGGAAUGGCUUGUUAAAUUCAAGGCUCCCUUCAGGUGAGCACACACAUUUGCAGCUCACUAUGGCUCCGUGCUGCUCUAGUGUAUAAAACGAAAGGCCUAAUAAAACUCCUGGUUUAGCUCCUUGUCCCAUCCAUACCCCCCCACUGAAAAUACUCUUUCACCUGACAUACACAAUUCAGGUAGGUCACCUAUUUCGGAUUCAAAAUGGUGAAUUUUGCCAAAAGGUGAGUGAUUUUUUACCUCCGCCCUCUUGGUCACAUUUUCUGUAAACUUAAUAUCAAUUUUCAUUGUUGUGCAAAUGACUGGGUAUCUCUACAAAACCCACCCCCACCAUACCGCCUUCCUCCAUCUGUGACUGUCUACAGGAAAUCAAAUCAUGGUUCGCAUCCAACUCUCUGAAACUUAACAGUGAUAAAACUGAGGUUCUCCUCAUUGGCACCAGAUCCAGAUCAUUGAAUUUCCAUUCGGGGAUAAAUAAAGUUAUUCUUAUUCGUAUUCUUAUUCUUACCCUCAGUAACACUCCCAACUUCACCAUCCCCUUCCACAACUCCUUUGUUUCCCCCUCCCUUCAGGUCAAGUGUCUGGGUGUUGUCCUGGACAGCACUCUGUCAUUCCAAACUCACUCAUUAAUUGCAUAACCUGGUCAGCCAUCUUCCAUCUUCAAAACAUCAAUCGCCUCCGUUCAUCACUCACCCCCAACAGCACCGUCAUCCUCGUCUAUACUCUUGUUACAAACCCCCCAGGGUUAUUGCAAAUUUCUUCUCAUUGGUCUCCCCCAUAAAUCAAUCCAUAUGCUUUAACUGGUCCAGAAUGCUGCCACCUGUAUCACCAGAACACCAUCUGUCAAUCUCAUCACACCUGCUCUCCGCCAACUUCACUAGCUUCCCAUAAAAUACCACUUGGACUACAAAAUUCUGCUCCACACAUACAAGGUCAUCCACAACCUUGCUUCUCGAUACCUCUCUGAACUCCUUGUAAGAAUCAGUGCUUUAGUUGACUGCUCAAGGACAACCAGAGAAGUCUUCAGGUUUCACAUAAACCUUUUAUUAUGUUCACAGGUAGAGUAAUACAGCGCUGGACUCGCAAUGACAGAGCCCCCAGGAUCUCCAUCUCCAUCACCAUGGGAUCCAGAACCUUCAGCCACUCUGCCUCCCACCUUUGAAGCUCCCUCCUCCCUGACAUUAGGAACAUUGACUCACUGUCCAUUUUCAAAUCCUGUGUGAAGACACAUUAUUUUAGACAGGCCUACUCAGACUGAGAAUUAAUAUUCUGCCGCAGAGUCCAGGCUUACUUAUGACUUACAACUUUUUUAUUUAAAACUUUUAUUGUGUUGAUGUGUAUUUUAUUUACUGUACUAUUUUAUUGAUGAG